GGAUUCCCCUAGUAACUGCGAGUGAAGCGGGAAAAGCUCAAAUUUAAAAUCUGGUGGCCUUUGGUUACCCGAGUUGUAGUCUGGAGAAGCGUUUUCUGUGCUGGACCGUGUACAAGUCUCCUGGAACGGAGCGUCGCAGAGGGUGAGAAUCCCGUCUUUGACACGGACUACCAGUGCUAUGUGAUGCGCUCUCAAAGAGUCGAGUUGUUUGGGAAUGCAGCUCAAAAUGGGUGGUAAACUCCAUCUAAAGCUAAAUAUUGGCGAGAGACCGAUAGCGAACAAGUACCGUGAGGGAAAGAUGAAAAGCACUUUGGAAAGAGAGUUAAACAGUACGUGAAAUUGCUGAAAGGGAAACGCUUGAAGUCAGUCGCGUUGGCUAGAACUCAGCCUGGCUUUUCUUGCUUGGUGCAUUUUCUAGUUGACGGGCCAGCAUCACUUUUGGUUGCGGGAUAAAGGUUGCAGGAAUGUGGCACCUCCGGGUGUGUUAUAGCCUGUGAUUGUAUGCCGUGGCUGGGAGUGAGGAACUCAGUGUGCCUUCAUGGCGGGACCUUGUGUCACCUUCGCACUUAGGAUGCUGGCGUAAUGGCUUUAAACGACCCGUCUUGAAACACGGACCAAGGAGUCUAACAUGCCUGCGAGUGUUUGGGUGGAAAACCCGGGCGCGCAAUGAAAGUGAAAAGUUGGGACCUCUGUCGUGGAGGGCACCGACGCCCGGACCAGACCUUCUGUGACGGCUCCGCGGUAGAGCAUGUAUGUUGGGACCCGAAAGAUGGUGAACUAUGCCUGAAUAGGGUGAAGCCAGAGGAAACUCUGGUGGAGGCUCGUAGCGAUUCUGACGUGCAAAUCGAUCGUCAAAUUUGGGUAUAGGGGCGAAAGACUAAUCGAACCAUCUAGUAGCUGGUUCCUGCCGA
rnacentral:rRNA from 1 species